AAAAAAAAAAAAAAAGUAAAAGUAAAAACUAAUUAAGUUGUAAAUAAUUUAUUUUUUAAUUACGAAAGUUAAUGAGUAUUUUUUAUUUUUUUAAAUUUUAAAAAAAAUUAUUAGUAACAGGUGAAUAUAUUUUUCAUAUUUUUACUUAUUUCCAUAGAAAAUGAAAACAAGAGUUUUUUAGAAAAUAGAAAAUGGAAAAGAAAAAACAGUUUUCCAUAAGUAAACCUACCCUUAAUAUUUCUCUUGGUCGAAGAAAGUAAAUCAAUUUUAAGCAACAUGCAAUGGUGAAUUUCUCUCGAUUGAAGAAAAUUAAAUCAGUUUUGAGCAACAUGCAAUGACGCUGCAAAUGAUCAUCUCUAUUCCAUGGUCGUAUAGAACUGGGAAAGCAUACACAGAAAUGCCCUAGGAUUGAUCAGAAAAGAAAAGUUUUCUUACAUUAGUCUCAGUGACAGAUUCUGCAUUGUGCAUUUGAGAAGAAUCACCAUUUGAUUCAGGAACUGGAAGCUCUUCUUCAUCCAAAAGACCAUCAAAUUCAGACUUUCUGCUCUUGAGAACAGAUUUUGGCUGGAGAAUUUCGCAUUUAAAAUCAACAUUAAGCACAAGAAAACAUGAAGAAAUACUGGAAUCAAAAGCAUAGUUUAGGCAUACUGAGGAUCUGGGCAGCAGUCUAACUCGAAGGCCUUUCCUCCAAUUCCUUUCGUCAUUCAACUUCUCAGCCUGACAAAGCAAUGAACUCACAUUUCGUUGCAAAAAAGAGAACAAAUAGCCAAUUGUAAAUCUCAGUAUCCUAACAGUGGAGACAUACUGCCUUUUCUGCUGUAUCUGGAUCCUCAAACUCCACAAGUGCAUGUAGCUUGAGGGGGGAAACGACAGGGAGAACUGGUUAGAAAAUUCUUAUCAAACUGUGUUGGUUUGAAAGCCAAGUAUGCUUUGAUCAUAAUCAAUACCUUGUUGCUCAUGAAGAAAUCACUUUUACUACGAGAAGAAUUGGAUUCUUGAGGAUGACAUAUUCUGAUGGUUCUUACACUGCUCGUAGAUGGAAGUUAUUACUUUGCAACAAAGAUAUGCACUAAAACACGUAAAGAAAUAUUAAGUUAUAAAUUUAACCUUCCAACCACACUAAAUAUUUUCUCAAGGUUUUGGUGGGAAUGAUCUUCAGGCAAAUUCUCCACCACAACAGUACGACACUGCAAGGUGAAAGGAACAUACUUGACAUUAACAAAAGAGUCUCAAAAAUCAACACUUUUAAAUCAUUCAUCCAACAGAAAAGUAUCCCAUGCCUACCUGCAAUUCUUCUCUGUCUUUUUCAGUAAAAGGGAUUUUACGUUUAACUUUCUUGCCAUCUUCACUAACAACCUUAAGCCAAAACAACAAUGGCGGUAAUGUUAAGGAUUAUUUGAUGAUGGCGAUGAUGAUAGUUCUAAAUUCCAUAAUGUUGCUUUAAAUGAUAACAGAAGAAUGUAAGCUGAGCCGAGAACUCACAAGUUUUGAGGAGGACUGAAGUGCUUGGGCAAGCAAAUGGUUAUUAUUGACGAGGGAUUUCAUUUUCUUCGUGGAAGCAAUGAUAGAUAUCAGUACUGUAGUAGAGCAAGAGGUGUAAAUGAAUGCUGUCUCAGUCAGAGGUAUAACUAAUUAGUAUUACUGAAUUUUGUCGGUUCAUAAUGAUCCUUACCAUAACCUUCAGGAUCUUUGCUUAUGUGUUUAGACAUGGAUUCAUUUGCAAGAAGACUCAUGUCACUGAACUGGUACUCCACCUGUUUUACAUACAAUCUCUACAAUCAGGAGGUAAUUCAAAGUAUCACUGAGAUUCUCAUGGUGAACAUACCAGUUUGACGUCAUGUAACAUUAGGACUACGGUAUGAAUAACUCCACCAUGUAGAAUGAAAAUAAAAAGAGGUAUAUUUCACUUAAAUGCGGAGUGCUGCGCAUUCAAUUUUGAUUACCGACCAGGAUGCAUGAUUCUAAAUAUACCUGCUACCUGGACUUUGUAGGCAUAAAUCUAAAAACAAAAUAAUGUGCUGAGAGAUGUAUGCAUGUUUAAUGUGCAAAUAAAAGAAAAGAACAUAUGGCUAACAGUCAGAAGCAAAAAAUCAGAAAGCAUAACAAAUAAAAAAUGCAUGGAGAUUAGUGAGACGCUAAACAAGACCUUGGCAUGUUUAAAUGGGUAGGAGGCUUCCAUAAGAUUUUGAGGGAAAAAGGAGGGAAAAUAUUUCUAAAGCCAAAAAUCCAUUCACUUGGGCAUUAACAACAAUAGACAAUCAUAGUUGAUAGUUAUCAAUGUAAAACUUUAUAGUCAUGAUCGUUGAUCUACCUAUAAUCUUAUUAAAUUUCCUCCAAACUGAUUAUCAGAUGAUAUUGGUGCUAGAUCUAAAUUAAUAUUGAUUUUAUCCCCUGAUGCUGCAAAGACACAUUGAUGAACCAAAAUUUCCUAGAACAAAAUAAUGUAAAACCAUCUGUUAAAUCCAAGUAGCACGGUUGAAUACCUUCCUCAUGCUUCCCUCCUCCCAGAAAAGAGCUUAUGUCAAAAUAGUAUCUUGAUCACUAAAAUUUUGGUUGUAUAAAUGGAGCUAUUGUAUUAUAACCAUAUCAUUAUCAUUGUUUCAAGGGAUAAGGGAAAAAAAUCCUAUUGUGACUGAAAAGGAAUUGAAUUUUUUUCAUUCCAAUAAGAAAAUUGUUUUAAAAAAAAUAUUAAAUUCUUUGAGAAAUUCUUAAUUCUAAAUGGGAAAAGCGAGAGAAGGCAACAAAAGAUCCAUAAUCCACUCAUUGAAAUAUCAAUUGUCCGAUUAAAUAAAACAUUGAGAACCCAACAAAGAAAAGGAAAAGGAACCUGUUUGACGAUCUUUUGGCGAAGAUCAUCAGUAAGAAGAGUAGUCUUAUUGGAGGAAUUGGGCAAAGCAAGAUUUGGAUUAGAGAUCAAAUAGGCAUGAGGGUCUUGUUCCCCAAGGAAAAACCAAUCAGAUCCAGCAGUAGGUCCAAGAUAAUGAAAGCAAGGAUAAAAAUAACCAGAAAUUGGCAUCUGGGUCUGAGCGGCGGGGGCCGGAGUAUGAGAUCUUGGGACGAAUUCAGGUGCCUGAACAUUGAAUUUGAAGGGCGAACUAGUACUACUGCUACUACUAACAGUCUCACAAGAUUUGGAUUUGAUAGAAACUUUCAAUUCCACAUCAUGAAGUGAGAUUUUUUCAUGCUGCUCUUCUUCUUCUUCUCCUUCGAUAUUGCGAUGGGGCUGUGCUUGAGCCAUGAUUAUUAGGGUUGAGAUUGAGAAAUCUCUCUAUCUCUCUCUGAGGGCUACAGCCACCGUGUGAUGGAUUGGUUUUGAAGAGAGAGUGUUGUUGGUUUCAUGUAAAAACCGUGUUCUAAUUUUUCCCUGAAGUUUAGUAACUGUAUUCUGAGAUUUUCAAUCCACAUUUCGCGCCAAAUUUAGAGAUUUCUUUUUUUAUUUUUUUAUUUAUUUUUUUUAUUACACAAAACCGUUGCUUGUGGGUUUGACCAGUUAUUUGAGGUUUGGAUUUUGCCACAAACUUACCCACAACAUUUCUCUUUCUCUUUCUUCUUUUCUAUCUCCAUUAGGAUAAAUUUUAUAUUUUCUUCCCUUCAACUUUAAAGUAAUAUCCAAUUUUAUUUAAAAUUAAAUCUCUUAAUUUAAAAUCAAAUUUUCUUCUAUUUAUUUAUUUUCUUGUUAGUUAAAACUGAAACAGAUUUGAUUCUAAAUUAAAAAUUCAAAAAAUUAUUAAUUAAUUCUUAUAAUAAGGAAAAACUCGCUGAUUAAUAUUUUAAUUUUAAAAAAUAUAUUAAAAAGUAUUUAAUAUUUUAAAAAAUUUAUUAAUUAAUUUUUUUAAUUAAUUUUAAUUAUUAAAUAUUGUAAAAAAAUUUUAAAAUAUUUUAAAUAUGAAAGAAUUAUCCGGUAAACUUUUAAAAAUAUAAAAUAUUAAUUAAUAAAUUUUUUAAAAUUAUAAAAAUUAAAUAAUAAAAUAUUUAAAAUUAAAAUUAACGGAAUCAUUAUUAAUUAGCGGAAUGAUUAAGGCAGUAGAUUUUUUAAAAUGUUAAUCCAUUUUAAUAUAUUUUUUAAAGUUGAAUGAUUAAUUAGUGAAUAAUUUUUUUUAAAAAAAUUGAGUAUAAAAAAAUAAUGUUGAACGAGAUUAAUUUCGUCUCACAAUUAAAAAACAAAAAUAAAAUUUAUUUCUAGUUGCAAAAUUAAUUUUAAGAUAGCAUGUGAUACGAUCCCUUUGCAAAAUUAAAUUAAGAUAAUAAAAGUAUUUGGUGGGUAUUUUUUAAUUAUUUUCUUUAUAUUUAUAAUUUCUAAUAUUAGGAAAAUUUUGAAAUAUUUCCGAUGUGGUGCUAUUUUCACUCAUGAAGAAUAUUUUUUUUAAUAUAAAAAUUAGAGAGGGUUCAACUCACAUAAUUAUUAAUGAAAAUUAACUGCUCUCCCUUUACUGUUGUAUGAAUUGUUACUAAUUCAUCAUAAAGGCUGUUAUUUAUAUUAAUAUUCAAACUUAGAAUUAUAUUUUUUUUCUCGCAAUAAUGUAUUUUAUGAUUAAUGAUAGUUAGAGAUGCAAAUGAAUCAAAUUAUUCAUAAAUUAUUCGAAACUCGAAUAGAUAAAAAUUUAAUCAGUUUCGACUCAUUUUCUCAACGAAUUAAGUUCGAACUCACUUUUUAAUUUGACGUUGAAUUUAGCAGUUUUUUAUAUAAUUUUUUUGUUCUUUAUUCAGAAUAAGUGGAGGUUUUAAAUGCUUGAAAUUUAUACAUUCAACUAAUUUAAUGAAUUGAAGAAGUAUUCAAAAAUACUUUAAAAAAUAUAAAUUAAAAUUUUAUAAAACCUCCCAUUGUUCUAUAAUAAGACCACCUUCUGCUAGAUAGAAAUUCCGAAGGUUUCAUACUCAAAGGAUUCAGAAAAAGAAAAAAAAAAUGGUCAAAGCCCACCAACUGCCCAAAAGUCAGACCACUCAUCAAAAUAGAAGGCCGAAAAAGAGAUAUUAGGAUUUGGGUAGUUCAAUUCUUGAUCUGAUCUGGGUCAGGCAGAAUUGGAAUUUGGGUUGAGGCCCAAAUAUGAAAAAUUCUUAAGCAAACUUUCCCACUCACCACAUACCCAAUAGACAAGAAAUUAUAUGGUAGAACCACGUAAAAUUAUAUAUAUAUAGUAUAAUAAAUUAAUAAAAAAAAUAAUUAAUUAAAAUCUAUUAUAAUUAUUUCACUUUGUAAUUUUUUCAAUCUGAGAAUGUGAUGAUAGCUCAAAAGUACUGCUCUACAAUGGGAGGUUAUAAUCAUUAAGAAUAAGAUUAUGGAAGCCAUGCUUGUCCAAUAUCAUCAAUAACAAAGCUAAAAACAAGAGGAAAGGACCAGUCAAAGUUGGAUUAAAACUUGAGACACUAAUCAAAUUUGAAGGCUAACCCAUCAAAAGAAAAAAAAAAUGCCACCUUUUGUCUUAGUGCUAGAAUCAAUGCCUUCUUUUACAUAAUAUUCACAUUAAUUAUAGCUAAAAAUGCACAUUUUAAGCUGCUUAUAGAGCAUACUUGUUUAAAAAAACAUUGCUUUAAAUGGAAAGUUGGAAGUCAUAAAGUACCAUUAGAACUCAUGUUGUCUGCCUUAGAAAACAUCAUCACAAUUCAUCCCUUCUUGAAAAGCUAUGUCAACAUAAAAGACAAACAUUGUUUUCUCUUUUUCUUUUUUAUUCUGUCCAUUUGAUGGAAAUGUUAUAUAGCAUAGACAACCAUCUCUUACUUCUCUUAAUAGUAUGAACUUGAAUUGAUUGAGGCAUUUAGCCAGAAAUUUUUCAAUAAUUGAAUCAAUAAAAAUUAAUAAAUAAAUUGGGGUUUAUGAUAAGUUUUAAAAUUAGUAUUAGGUUGGCCUUUUUGACAAAAGCCAUUUUUUCUAGGUAGAGCUUUUGAUAGGUUUCUCCCAAUUUAAAGUUUCCUAAUUAUACCAGACCUAUCAAGAAGGAUCAUCACAUCUGGCUGCUCUUUCAAGGAAUCUUCAAUAGGAAUACUGUUGUUAUGUGGGUCCAAUUUCACCACAUUUUUAUCUAAGCUGCCAUGUGGGUUGCCACUGUGCUUAACUAAAAUCAUUGCACAUAUUCUAUUCUCUAUCUUCUAAUAAAAGGAACACAACAGUCUUUUAGAUUUGAAAAAUCUAAUCACCCAUAUAUAUUAAUUAAUUAACCCUUAUUUAGAAAUAUAAUUAAUUAGAGGUUCCAUCAUUUUCACUCUCACUUCUUUCACCAAACAAUUUAUACCAUAUUUAAAGUGAGCCUAUCAAUGUGGGCUCCUUCAUUAUAUCUUGUCUGUAAGAUUCUCUCUAUUAUUUUGUUUUCUGAGUGUGACUGUUUUGUCAUGCACAUAGAGAACUGAUUGUGUUUUUUUUUUAAUAAUAAUAAUAGUUAUUAUUAAUGGGAUACUCCUGGAUUAGGUGGAAGGAUAAAAUCUGAAGAUUUUUUAACAAUUGACUAAUCAGAGGCUGUUUGCAGGCCACAUAAUUCAGUCAGCUGGCACAAAAUUAUACACAAGUAAAGAAUUGUAUUGUUCUGUUUGUCUAAUGAUAAAGAUUUAAUAAAAAAAAUAAGGAAGGAAUAUAGAAGAAAAUAUGGUCAUUCAUGAAGAAGAAGCAUAAUUCUCAAAAGUGUAUAUAGUGAUCUAGUCAAAUUCCAAAUUCCAAAUUCUGGGAUGAAUGGAAUCAAUCCUCUGUUUCUACAUUUACCAGAAAUUUAAUCUGCUAUUAAGGCUUGGGUCAAAAUCAGUAUUGGUCAUAUGUAUUGUUUUCCAAACAUACUAUUGAUUUGGAGAGUAAACUAAACAUUUAGUGAACAGAAAUUUGAAGAAUAAUACAAGUACUUGUUUGUCUAUUUUAUUGUUCUAGAGGGACCUGAUAAUAAUUUGCCCUUGAAAGUGGGAAAUGUAGAAACAUAGUUCCAUGGUAAUAAUGCAGUGGAAAAGACACGACUUUUAAAAAAUGGACAAGACCUACUAAAAAGAUAGGGACUAAUGAAAAUGAAAUGUUCCUAAUUUCCUGUUUAAUUCCCUUGGGUGACGGAAAAAUUUACAAAUGACCAGGAAUCUUACAAUAAUUUCCAGGUAGAAAGCUAGCUGUGUUCCUUCAGAGUCUCUUUUCUUCCUUGGCCUUUCUGGCAACCUGAUGGAGGAUUAUCAUGAAAUCCCUGUCAGAAUUCUACCAAAUUUUAUCUUUCUCCUAAAGCAAAUCAAAAAGAACUUUCAGCAAGUCUUAAAAGCAUAAUAAAGAUUACUUGAACUAGUUAUCCAAGACAUCAAUUUAAUAUAAAUCUUGUAUUGAUGAAGUUUCAGGACAAGAAAUUCUCCAUCUGAAGUUGGAAACUUUCAGAGGGAAACACGUUGAACUAAAAUCUCUAGCAAUGGAACAUUUUUAAUCCUCAUAUUGGUAAGAUAAGUUCAGCACAGAGGAUUCUUAUAAUGACACAGGAAAAGCUUUUGGGUAUGAGAAUAAGGCCUUGUUUCUUCCAUCCAAACAUGGAUAUUAGAAUUCUUAUAUCAACUCCGAGAGAAUACAAAACUCAACUUUUAAGACAGAAGGAAAGCUAAUCCUGCAAAAUUUCACAGCCUCUCACUCUUAAGAUCCCCCUUCAUGAUGUAUCUUUUAUGGGUUUUUUUUUCCUCGAGUCAUACAAUCCUCCCAUGCAUAAUUUUAUCUGCAAAAUUCAUGGUGGAUACUCUCUAUACAUCAUCUUUUCCUGAUCUAUGAAUAUGACUUUUCCAGCUAUAGCCCUCGGAUUUAGCAUCCUCAUCAUCUUCCAUGCUAUCGCCUCCAGUUGUAGAGGUCCCUCCAGUGUUUCCUGCUAACUGCAGGGGACCUUGAGGAGAGCCGGACUGUGAACUGGUAGUCUUUGAGGAGUCACCAUACUGAUCUUGGGACAUCCACAAACCCCCCAAAACAACAACAGAUUGGUUUGCAGAGGCUGCUGUAGCUGGUGGCAUUCUUCGUGUAUGAAGUCGAUAUUUCUACAAUGACAAGAAAUAUUUUAAUUUCCAUCAGUAUUAAGAAUUUCAUAUUACUCUUAUAUUAAGGCAAAGAAGGAAAUUGCUUAAGCAAUUUAAGCUCCUUCUUUUUCCCUUGAAAUUUGUGCUUCCUGUGAAUCAAAAUCCCCAGAAAAAAAGAAAUGGACAAUGGAAACUCACUUGCAAAUGACUCUUCACUUCAUCAUUGGUCAAUCCAUCGACUUGCAUCAGUUCUCUAAUCUGCUUUGGAGUAGCAGCUGCAAAAUAUCAAGAAAAUUACAAAUUAGAUCUUCAAAAACAAUUUAAAAAAAAAGAAUAAAAAAACCAAAAUUAUAAAAGCUCAACAGCAUUAAUAAAGCCCCCAAAAUUAACCAAUAUUACUUCAGAUUUCCAUCAUAUUCAUUAAUCUUUCACAUUCCAGUCUCGUGUCAUCUCCAUCUCUAUGUUGCUUACCAAUAUUAUAAAUAAAAAUGCUAACUUUAUCAGUUUAUAUCUGAAACUCUCAGCUAAGCUUUCCAUCUUUAAAGAUCAUUCUCACGUUAAGAGACAAAAACAUCAUCAUUUUUUGCAAUAUACUAAGCAAUCUAUAUAAUUCUACACUAUGCAAUAUCAGGAAUCUUAGUACAAAAGAUAAAAUCAACAUAAAUGUUUCAUUUAAAAAAUAAAUUCACUAUCAUAUGCUUACUUUGAGAUCCUCCAAGUUGUUGUAGAGCAUUGACAAACCGGCGAUGCAACUCUGGGGACCAGCACCUCCUCUGCUUCCUAGCAGUUUGUUGCUGAGAUGGUUGUCCAUUUCGUAAAUUUGGCUGAGGAUUAGGGGCAGAAGAGGAAACUGCUCUACUACAACUGAUUCUUGUAGAGCCAGAUUCUGCCCUCAAGUUCUUGAUUCCAGGAGUUAGAAGGGAGAGUCCAGGAACUGGCAAUUCCUCACUAGUAUCAUUAUCCUCCUUCCUAGAUAAACCAGAGUAAGUCUUAAAUGGCAAAAAUGUUCUUGCUGGACUCCUGCCUUUGCAGGCCUGGAAUGUAUCCUCAUUUGCAAAUUGAUUUCCUUUCUUAGUUGUCUGUCCAAGAAAAUCAAUAAAAGAAAAACAGAUCAAUCCCCGUUUUCUCUUUUUUGAUAGGUUUUUUGAAUCACACAAACUCACAUGUACUAUAAGCACACAAUUUUUUUCUGGUGUUAAUAUGUUACCUUAGAUUCUAGUUUGAGAUUUUGUUUCUGAUCAAAGAUAUAAUCAGUAGAGUGAUGAUCAUUAGAGUUCCAUAACUGAACAGAGCUCAUCCAAUUUUUCUUGUCUUUGGAGUCCUUUUCCUUUUUGAUUGGACCAUCUUGUUCAUCAUCAUCAUCAUCACAGUUUGUCUUCAAUGGGAUGAAUUCUUCUAAAACCGGUUGAUUAUUUGAUGCUGCACAUUGUGUGGACUCUGCCUUCAAAAAUAGGAUUGCUGCAACAAAGAAAUCAAAAGCAGCCUUAGAUAAGCAUCAUCAAGAACCAAAACAAGUACAACAUCGGAAUUAGUUUCCUCCUCCAAGCUAAAAAAUGACCAAAAAAAAAAAGAAAAAAAAAAUCAAUUGAUCAACUUCAUAAAAAAAAAAUUACCAUACUGACUUCUUCAUUUGCAAAACCGAAAAUCAAAAGAAAACCUUGGACCAAAAUUCAUCAAAAUCUCAAAAAGCAACCAAUCAAAAUUAAAAUUUUAUAUAAUUUCUCAGAAAAACAUACCACCAAAGCAAUUAGUAAGGAAAUUUCGAACUCAAUUGUUAAGGAAAUUCAAAAAAAAGGGAAAAAAGAAAAUUUUAUAUAUGUCUGUAAAGAAAAAAACCAACCAUCAUUCAAGAGAAGCAUGCAAAGAGGGAGCUCGCGCUUAAACGCAUCGAUCUUCCUCAUUUCCUCUUCUAAUCCUUUGACAAAACCAUCAAGUUUCGAGACCUUUUCAGAAAUAUCUCCGAUAAUCGACACCUCGUUGAGGAAAUCACUGAUAGUUUUGGGGACAUAAGUUGGCCUAAAAUCCAAGCUCAGUUCAGGAGGAAGCGAACCCAUUUGUUAUCGGUGACAAAAACCUCAGAUUCUCCUGCCUAAUUCCCUCCCCUUUCUGUUUCCUUCUCUGUAUUCUGAUGUUUCGUCAAUGGAUGGAAGUGUUAAAUGAAAACAGGAGGGGCGGUGAGAUGGUGAGAUCUAUAUAUAGAGAGAGCAUAGAUAUGUAAUGUAGUGUGCGAGAGAAGUGUUUUCUUUUUUUUCUUUCUUUUUCUCGAGAAAAAAAAAAAAGGAAGAGAGAGAGAGAAAGUGGAGAGGAAAUAUAACUAAGAAACGCGAAGAUUCUGCUGUGGGUUUUUCGGGCUAUAAAUUCUAUUUCGCGUCGUCGCAUAUUUUAUCUUUUUUUUUUCUUAGCAGCCCAUAUUUUAUCUUUAUAAAUGAAUAAACAUAAAUAUUAGGCUAAUUGGACUGAGAUUAAAAUUUUAUUUAUUCUUAAAAUAUUAUUCAAAUAAAAUUAAAUUUAAAUAUAAUCAAAAUAAUGAAUAUAACUUAUUUUUAAUAAAAAUAAUAAUUUUAAAUUAAUAAUAUUAAUAAAAUUAUAAAAAUAAUAAUUAUAAGCAACAUUUUAUUAAAAUAUAUUAAAUAAUAUAAAGUCGGUAAAUUUCAUUGUCAAAUAAAAAAUAAUCAAAUAAAUAAUUAAAAAUUAUUAAUCAACAAUCCGCUUGAACCAAACAUAAUUCUAUCAAAAUAAUUAAAUUUUAAUUUAAUUUCAUUUUUCGACUAUAAUAAAAUGAUACACACUCUAUUACUCUUUUCUUUUAAAAAUUGAACAUAAAUAUAAUAAAUUUACAUUUUUUAAGUAAAUUAAGACAAAUUAAAUUAUUGUACUCUUUUUAAUUAAAUUUAAAUAAUUUCUAAAAUCAAAUAAAUUUAGUUAAACAGACUUUUAGACUUAUUAAAACAAAAUUAACUCAUAAAUUUUAAUUAGCAUAAUAUCAAUAAAUUCAAAUUCAACUUAUUUAUUCAUUAAAUUUAAAAAUUAAAUUCAAGCAAGCUUAAUUUAAAUUAAUACAUCAUUAUUGUUAAUGUAUUUUAUUAAAUAGGUAUCAAUAAAAUCUUAAAUAUUAAUUUAAAAACAAAAUACUAAAGUAAAUUUGAGGUAAACAUACUGUUUAAAAAUUAAAAUUUUAGUAUUUAUAAAAAUUGAAUUGAAUUAAUUUUAAAUAAAAAUCAAUCGAAUCAAAUUGAUUUAAUUCGAAUUGAUUUGAUCAGUUAGACUUUUAAUAGACUUUUUAUUUUUUAUACCUUAUUUUAAUUAUUUUAAAAUUUAAUUGAAAUAUUUAAAUAUUGAUUAUAGUAUAAUCUAUUUAUAUUAUUAAAAAUAAUAUAUUAUUAUUAAUUAAUUUAAUUUUUUAAUUUUUUUUAAUUGAAAUCAAAUCGAAUCAAAAUAACUGAAAUUUAAAUUAAAAAUCAAUUAAAAUUAAAUUUUGAAUUAAUUCAGUUUGACCAAUUUUUUAGAUUUAAACAAUAUACUGCCGACUCCUAAACCAGUCUCAUUUUUAUUAAUAAUCUAUUUGAUAACAAAGUUCUUAAUUCUCAAAUUUUAAAUUAGCAAAUUAAUCCCAGCAAUGCUUUUAAAAAUUUAGUGUUAAGAAAAUUAUUUGUGAGAAAAAUUUGGAGUUUUAAUAAAUUAUUUUUAUAAAAUUGAGAACUAAAUCUAAAUUAAUAUAAAAAAUUAUUUAGAAAAAAAAUCUCUUUUAAUUACAUGAUUAGGUUUCCAUUUGUUUAUAAAAAAAUAACUUAUAUUUAAAAAUUAUUUUAUAUGAUAAUUAUUUUUUUAGAAAAUAUUUUUAUUGAAAAAUAUUUUAAAAAAUUUAUUAAUAAAUUUUUUUAUUAAUUUUAGCCGUUAAAUAUUAUAAAAAAUUUUAAAAUGCUUCCAAUAUAGAGUAACCGGUUAGUAAAUUUUUUAUCAAUAUACAACUCAAAUAUGAUUUUAGCAGAUAAAAAUAUAAAUAUGAGUAAAUGUAUUUUUAACUUAAAAAAUAUUUUUUUAAUAAAAAUUAAAUGGAUUAUUUUUCUUAAUAUAUUAAUAUAUUUUAUAAUUUAUCCAACUGGGUGGGUGAGAAAAUAUGGGAGAAAAAGGUCCAAGGAAACUUCCUAUCAAGCCUCCUACCACAAUAUUCAUAUCUAAGCAUAAUCAAAAGAUUGAGACUAAACCAAAGAGAAAAUCACCAUUAUCUUGUCAGGUCAAAAAAGGUUUCUUCAAAUCUAGAUCAACAAAAUAAAAUAAAAUAAAAAUAAAAGAAUUUCAUGCUUAAAUUGGAUUCACACUGAACAUUGUAUUUUUUUUAUUCAAUUUUAUUUUUUUUAACUAAUGAAUAUUAAUUAAUAACAGUGAAAUAUAUUAUUGAUUAUAAUUUAUUUAUAUUUAAAAAAUAAUUAAUAACUAUUUGGUAUUUUUAUAAUGCAAGUUGAGUUAAUCAAAAUCAAAACACUUUACAUAGGAAAAAAUAUUUUGAAGAGAUUUUAGCCUUUUUAGGAAUAAAAAAGAUUUAAAAACAGAAGGGUUGUCCAAACAAUCAACACAUGAAAUAAACUUUGGUCAUUUUUUGUGAAGAAAGUGUGAAAUGACUUUAUACUUUUCAAUAAUUAUUCCCAAUUUUUUAACUAGUCCACUAAAAAUAUAAUAAAGUACCCUGUAUAAGUCAAAUUCACCUCUCUGUGUUUUUAUUAUACUUUACUUUAAGGUGAGAAAAUUUUAAACGUGAAUUUUUAAAUUAAUUUAAUUUAAUGAAUUAUUUUGAUAAUAUGAUAAAAAAAUAUUUACUCCAUUCGUAAAUGAAUAAUUUAAGUUUAAUUAUUGAAAAAUAUAUUAUUGAGACGGAUAAAUUCAGUGAAGAAAAAAUAUAAUAACUUAAAAUAAAAUUAUUAUAUUAUAUUAAAAUUACCCUUUUGUUUGUUAUUUGUGGUGCAAGGCAAGAAUUAUUCACUUCCUUUAAAGGGAAAACAAAACCAAUAGUUAGAAAAAAGAAGGCCACCAAGAUGGAAUGUUGAGGGAAAUGUAUGACCAAUAAGAUUUAAAAACUUGCAUAAUAAUAUAUUUUAUUUAAUUACUCAUAAUUUUUAUAAUAAAAUUUAUAAUACUUUAUUAUUUUAAUUAAUUUAUUGGACAUUCAUGUACUUAAUAUGGUGUGGUAAGUGUAUUUUAUUAAAUUUAAGAAAUCUCAAAUUUUACUAUCUGAUUUUCAACUCUUACUGAAAAAAAUAUUUAAGUUAGUUGGAAUUGGACCCUUUCCUCAAUUUUCAAAGGGAAUCACAACUUUUUGUAAUCCUUACAAGACUUCAUUGGCGGAUUAUAAAAAUUUGUUCUUUUAUUGAAUGGUCAUCUUUGAUCAAUGCUCCACUCUCCAUCUAAGGAAUCUUGGUUUUUGCAUAAAACCAAUUGAUGCUUCUUCCAUUUAUUACUCCAAUGAAAAUGGGAAAAAGAAGCUUUGUAUUCUUGGGGUAGUCAUUUUUUUAUUUAUUUAAAUAAAAUAGUCAAUGUCUUUUUUAAUUAAUUGGGACGGUUAAUUCAACCCAUAAACCAAUUCCUUUCAUAUUAACCAUCAUAUAAUUAGGAAUUUCAAAAAAUUAUUAUAUAAUUAUAUAUUUGCAAUUAAAUUGAGAUUUGAAUAGGUAUUGAGUAUAUAGUGAGUAUUUGAUCAGUUUGAUUUAAAAUCGAAUCGAAUUAAAUAAAAAUUUUAGUAUUUAUAAAAAUUAAAUUGAAUUGAUUUUGAUUAGAAAUUAAAUUGAAUCAAACCAGUAUGAUUCAGUUCGAUUUGAAUUUUUAAUAAUUUUUUUAUUUUUUAUACUUUAUUUUUAAUAUUUUAAAAUUUAAUUGAAAUAUUUAAAUUUUAAUAUGAUAUAAUAUCUCUAUAUUAUUAAAAAAUAUAUAUUAUUAUCACUAAUCGGUUCAGUUUAAUUUUUUUUAAUUAAAAUUGAAUCGAAUCAAAAUAAUUGAAAAUUUUGAAAUUAAAAAUCAAACCGAACUGAAAUAAAUGAAAAAUCAAACCAAAUCAAAAUGAAUGAAAAAUUAAACCAAAUCAAAAUGAAAGAAAAAUUAAAUUAAAAUUUUAAAUUAAUUCGAUUCGAUCAAUUUUUUUCAAUUUGAACCGAAUACUCUCACACCUAACAUAAAAAAAAAUAAAAUUCUUAUAAAAUAUAAAUGAAAAUUUAUUUUAAUAAUUAAAAAUAUUUUUUCAAACUUUUUUUAACAUUUGUCACCAAAUGAUUUUUUUUCUGAAAUUUGGGAGGAUUAUAUCGUAAUUUGUGAAAGAAAACCUUAAAAAAAAAAAGGAAAAAUGAAAAGAAACCUGUUAGAUUCCCUUUCCAGGACUGGAAAAACAACAUGUGAAAGCUUGAUUGGAGUGUAUUGAUAAUUCAACACCGACCUCAUAAUUUAAAAAAAAAAGAAAAGAAAAAACAAAUGUAGAGAUGGAUUUGUCAAUUUCUUCAAACACAGCACAAGGGCCUUAGCUUAGAGAUGAGGAAUCUCGGGUGAUGUGUGGGUCCCAAAUUUCGAUAUUGCCCCAUCUUUCAGUUGGAAUCAUAUAAUAAACGAUAAUAAUAAAUUAUAAAUUUUAUUAUUAUAUAAAACCAUAAAAUAAAUUUGGAGAAAAUAAAAAAUAAAAUCACAUAACUCAAUUUGCUUAAAUUAAUUAUAUAUGUAUAUAUAAUUAAGAACAAAUAAGAUAAUAUAUUUUAUUAUUAUUUAAAAAAGUUAAUUGAUAAAAUUAUUUCAAUAAUAUUAUAGUGAUAUUUAAUAAAACAAAAUAUAAAAUUGAAUUUGUAAAUAAUAAAAUGAAGCAAAUGAAAAAAGAUGCUUCUUUUCAAAACCAGAAAAAGGACAACUUUUACAGCCAAUUAGAUUCCAUGUUUUUCUCUUCCAUAGAAUUGAGAAUCUCUCUCCAAUCAAAUUUUAUUUAAUUUUUAAUUAGUAAUUAUUCAAUUUAAUUGGAUCCUACAGUUGGUUUGCAUUAAUUAAUUUUUAAUUUUUUUUUUGGAAAAUAUAACCGAUUGGAUCCCGUCUCCAUUAGUUUUGUCGGAUGCUUCUGCUCAAAGAAUCUCAUAAGUACGCAAUGUGAAAUACCUGUUUUACCCUUUCAUUCCUUUCGUCUAUCUUUUUUGUUUUGUAUCCUCUAGUUGUAAGGUUUACACAUGGUUGAUUUGCACUAGUGAUUUUUUUUUUGGUUUCAAUUGCUUUUUUAUUUAUUAAUUUUUGAAUAUUUUCCUCUAGUGUAAAAUUUUGUUGAAACAAUGUGAAAAUGCAAAAAGAUAAUUUAAUAAUAUAAAUUAUUUAAUUUUAAUUAAGCAAUAUGAGUAAAAUAUAUAUUAAUAAAAGAUAAAAUAAAAUUUAUUAUUUUAACUAUAUUAACUAUUCUCUCCCUACCCAUAAUGAUAGGCCUACUUAUUUUCAAUGAGAUAUAUUAGUUUUUUUAUUUUUAAUUAAUAUCGUAAUAAUUCAAUUUAAAUUAAUUUAAAAAUUUUAAAAGUUAUUUUAUUCUCGACUUAAAAUAAUUAAUUAAAUUAUUUAAUAAUUUUAUAACAACUAUUAUAUAAUAUUUCAUUAUUUUUAUGGAAGGAGAGAAUAUUAUAAAAAAUUAAAGAGAGGUAUUCUAGUAAUUGCAGUUUGGUGUAUGAAAAUUCCAUGUGUGGAAAGAGUAUACAUAAAUAAAUGUGAAAUGUAGCGUUGGAGGCAGUCAAAGGGAAUAAGAUUCUAUGAAUACAGCAGCCUCUAAUGGAAGUAAUGAUGGUGUGGAAUUGAAGAAGGCAAGAAUUUAAACAACCUAAGCGAGAGGAUCUUUGGAGAGAAAAAAAAAUUAAAGAAAAAGAAAAUUUGGUCAAUUCAAGAAAAGGAGGAAGUUUGGAAUGGAGACCAAUUGAAAUUCUGAAAACCAACCAAUUUAUUUUUUUGAAAGACAAAGCAAAGCAUCUGAUUUUUCUGAUGAUACUAUCAGGAAUCCAAGAAAAUGGUAUCUGUAACUAUCAUGUCUUGUCUCCUUGCUACCAAAUAUUUCCUUUUUCAAACCACCUCUUUUCAAUUUCAAGAAACUGUUAUUAUUUUGAUUGAAAAAUUAGUUUAACUUUUAUUUUUAUAGUAAAAACUGUAACAGGUUAAAAAAAAUCUCCUUCAAUGAAAAAAUUAUUUUAUUGAUGAAAAAAAAUAUUUUAAUAAAUUUUUAUAAAUAUAAAAAAUAACUUAUUAAUAAUAAUAAUUCUCAAAAACUAAAUAAUAAAUAUUUUUUUUAAAUAUUCAAAUAUUAAAAAAUGCAAAAAUCUUAAGUGAAUUUUUCUAUGUUAAACUCCUGGUUAGUAUUUGACAUAACAAUUUUGCUGUGAGAAAUUGGAAGCAAGAUAAAAUCUUUAGCACUAGUGAGUGAUCUACCACAACCACAAUAAAUUUUUUUUAAAGACAAUUGCUUGCAAAAGAUUCACUGAAUAGGCCAGUUGGCAUUCACUUAGAAGAAAGUAACAAACCAAAUUGAUUGAAUCCGAAGAACAAACGAAGAUACCUAAUACAAAGACUUUGGAAGAAGACAUAACACAAUUCCAUUCAUUUCACCACAAAAGCAUCUUUCACGUGAUGACUAUGUCCCUUAUUCAUGCCAUUUAUGUGACCCUUCUUAUGAGGGUAUCUUUUGUCCCUAUUAUUACUAUUAUUAUUUUGGCCUUGUCAAUAUAGAAUCUUUUUAUUUUUAUUUCUUUUAUAGUCUAUUAUUAUAUGAUAUCUUACCGGAUCAAUACGAAUUUAUAUCCAACAAACUUAAAAAUAUUUAUCAGAGCUCAAAUUUAAAACUAUUAAAAAAAUUUAUGUCAUUUUUCUUUUUGAAAAUGGAAAUCACAGAUUAAAGAGUAGAACUUGAGAUCUGUCAAAUUUACUCAAAUACAUUUACCAUCAAAUUAAGACCGGAAUUGCCAAAUUCAUAUCUAGUAUUUCUAAAAUAAGAUGGAAUCUUUUUUAAAUAAUGCAAGAAGAGGAAGAGGGAGAGGGUAUGCAAAUUUCUCCUUUCUCGGCAUCUUCUUGUCAUAUAAGGGUUUUUGGUGAGUUUGUGUACUUUUAGGAGUUGUUGAGUAAGCAUUAUGCAUUGUCCUUGCAAGAAUUCCACUUACUCAUUUGGCCCCAUCUCUUUAACGUCAUAUUUUUUCCCCAUCUCCCCCCUUUCACAUCUUUACCCUUAUUUUUCAACUCUACAUAAACUCUUAUAAUAAUUUUUUUGAAAACUUAUUAUCUAAUCCUGUGAUAUAAAUAAAUUUAUUAUUUCUCUGAAACUUUUGAACUUUAAUGAAUCCCUUAAUAUUAAAGUUUAAACUUGUAAAUAAGAUAUGUAAGAAUUAGUUAUAAUUUUUAACAUAGUCAAAUUGGCAAUGGUAAAAUUAAUAAAAAUCCAAUACUCUAUUUUUUGGCUUUUUUUUUUAUAAUAAUUAUAUGAUUAAUUAAAAAUAGAGAAAAUACAAUAAAUAUUUUACUAUUAAUGAAGAGUGUUGAAUAAUUACUUGAAAAAAGCAAUUGUGCUUAGCAUUUUUCAUUUAAGGAUUUUGCACAACAUUCAUGCACAGGGGACCAAAAGAAGAAAAUGAAAAAAUUGGUGAGUCCCAAAACCAAAUUAUGAUAGAAAAAAGGGGAGCUGUUUCAAUUUGGCUAUGUGUACAUAUAUACAACCAAGUAAAAAUCUGCUUAUCUUUUCAAAAGAUGAAUGACAUGUAUACUUUUCAUACAUCAAUUCCAUGGAAUUCUCAAACACCAAGUUAUUACUGUGUGAUUAGAUGAGUAUCUUUUUUUUUUGAGUUGCUGCUUCUUUUGAGAAAAAGCAAAUGUCACUAAAUUAUCCUAAGUUUUUAAAAUUAAAUACACUUUGGGAUUGCCAUUGCAAAAGCUAACAAUAUUUAUAUCUGAAAAACAAUCAGUUAUGCAUCUUUAUUUAUUAAUUUUUUUUUUUAAAAAAAAUUAUCUUAAAAUUCAAUGGCUCAUUCAAGGAUCAUUGUUGUAUAAACUUUUUAAGUAUGAGGAUUGAGAGUUUAAAAUUUAUAUAAACAAUCUUCUAGUUUUUCUUAAUAUAAAAAAUAAAAAUAAAAAUAUAUAUGUAUAUUAGAGAAAUAAAAAUAUUUAAAUAAUCCCAUACAAUCAAAUAAAAAUUUAUUUUGGGAAAAGAAAAUUUCUGGCGGUGGCCAGGAAAACCAUAGAGAGUACAAAAAAGGUGAAAAAACGAGAAGGCGAGUGGGGAUGACGUGGCAAAUCAUAGGGUGACAAAAAAAGCAUAGAGAGGAAAAAUUUAUCAGAAUCCAUUUUCAUAUGUUUAAGAAAAUAACAAUAGGAACAGGCUCGCCGCAUAGGAACGGCGGUGCAUUCUACACAUCGAAUAUUGAUGGCCCCACUAACCCAUAUAUCAAAUUACGAAACGGUGCGCUCAGCUUUUUUUUUUUUUUUUAAAUAAACGAAAACCUCUAGAUCUCAUAUCCAAAUUCCACUUUCCCUCACCAAGAAAAAUGGAGGUCUCCUUUUUCCCACUAGGAAAAGUACAAUAUUAUUCUCAUUAUUUUUAUAUGAAGUAAAAGAGUUGUUUUAUUAAAAAAAAAAAAUUCAAACAUUAAAACACCGAUAAAAGUGAAAAAGUGAUUUUUUUUUCAAAGAUUAAUAUAUAUGGGAACUUGUAAUUGCAGCUCUCUUUAGACACAGUAACCAAAUGGUGGGAAGUGGGAAAUAUAAAAUUAAAGAAUGGAGCAAAUAUAAUAAAAGAAGGAAAGAAAAGAAAACAUUUAGCAAGUAGAUAAGAGUUGAAGGAUUUUAAAAAAAGGAAAAAACAGAAAAAGAAGAGAUAAAGAUGAAGAAAAAUUCCUCCAUGACAAAAGGCAAAAUAUACUUUUGAAAAUGGGAAGUAUAAAGUCAGCAUAUCUCGGCAGAAGAUAGGGCAAAUAUAAAGGAUUCAACUUUGAAAUUGCUGAUAGUCAAGACAUUACCAUAAAGUUCACACAUCUUCACGUGAACAAGAACCCAUUUCAAUUCAACAAAAUUCUCCCAUUUUCAGAACAACUCACUUUGAGAUAUAUAGUGACAAAUGCAUUCUUUUUACACCAUCCACAAUAUCAAGAUACAAUAAAUAAAUAAUAUUCCUCAUGCUCAUCUCAUUAUCUCAGAGAUGCACCCUUCAUGUUUUAGCUCAAUCCUUGAAAGAGUGGAUGGAAAAAGUUGAUGAAAUUCAUGAUCAGCUCAACUAGCAACGUAACAAAUUCCAGAAAUUAUAAUCUAGACAACCCAUAAAUCACAUUUCACUCAACCCAAGACCUGGUCGAUUGGCCUCCCAAUAAACCAACAAAGAAGGGAAAGGCAUCCUUAAUGUUAUGUUACUUUGAACUCGAAUAUAUAUUUUAAAAAUGGAUGCAUAUCCAUAUUUAUCAAAUUUUUAAAUAAAAAUAUAAAAAUAUAAAUAUAAAUUUAAACACACGUAUUUAAUUACAUUAUAUUAUAUAUAUAAACUAGAAUAGUAAUAAUUAUAAAUAAAUGAUCAAAUAUAAUACAAUCAAAUAAUUAUUUUUUAUAUAAAUAAAUAUUCGAUGGAAAACAUAUUUUAUUAACUAUAUACAAAUAUGUCAUUAAGCGUUUAAGUACACGAAUAUAUGCAAGACAUAUGUGGACAUAGAUGCAAUAUAGCAAAAUGAAGAGUGUUGAGUAUAAGAGCCUCGAUCCACUGAGGACAUAAAACCAAGACACUUCCCCACAAGUCCUGCUUGGGUAAGUACUUCAAGUAACGAUCUUGUUUAUUUCUACAUGAAAUCUAAACGGAUGACAUACUCAGGAACUCAACUGAAGCCAUGAAGAUUUCACAGGCCAUCAUAUAUUCUGCCAACAAACUGGAAAACACGAAGUCAAUUGACCCGAUUAAUGUGUUGGAAAGAACCAAACUAAAGGAUCAAAAUUUUCUAGAGCUUAUGGCCCUCAGCUCCUGCAAUAUGACAGUGGUAAACUAGCUUUCCACAAGGCGGAUUUAUCUUUUAUAUAUUGUAAUGGCCCUGUCAAGUUCUAGGAGAUGUUAUUUGGCCAAUCAUGUAAAGGAGGCAGACACCCCCUAUGCUAACCCUCUCCACGUCAAAGAGAAAAAAGAAAAAAAAAAGGUUGGAGGAAAAACCUCCUACACCAACCUCGUGGGGGAAAGAAAAUAACAGAUGCUAAAAGUAGUAGAAAGAAUUACAACAAAAUUGCCACCUCUAAUAUUGGGAUUGCUUAUGUACAUAAAAGCAAAUGAUUCUCCUCUUCUCAGAUGGAUCCUUUAGCAAUAGUGAUGAAACUUCUAGUAAGACAGAAAUUCAGGCAAUUGAAUUUGACAAGAUUUCUAAUAUUAUG
rnacentral:lncRNA from 1 species